CAGCAAUGAUUUAUCUAUACUCAGAGGUGACUCAGAACCGCAUAAAUAUGUCCCACUGAACCCAAAGCAAAUUGAUCCCGAACUCAACUUCCCCAUAGCCAGAUCCCAGAAAUACCCAUGGCGCCUCCAACCACCUCACAUAAACGGAAACUGGGACACAAGGGAAGUUGGAGUAGAAAGAACUAGCAAUCUUAACUGAUUGUGGAUAAAACAUCUUACCUUCGCAAAUUUCCCAAGAACAUGAAGAGAUGAACACACUGCAGAGGCCCCUCCCUGGGCCUGAGGAGAGGCCCUGAUGCUCAGGAAGCUUUAGCUUCAUGCUGAGUCUGCCUCUGCGUUGAGCUGAGAUUUGAAGAGAAGAUCAGAUUCUUGUGCUUAAAACCUCCCAGGCUGGUCAGGGCCAGGAGACUCCAGGAGUCAUCACAAGAGAUUAAUGAGGUUGAGAGCCAGGGGCAGAGCAGGUUGUGAAGAUCGAAUAAUAACAUACUCGCUCACAGGCAGUGCACCUGACGAUCAGCGUCUACUGGCUGGGAAGACAAGAUUUGGACAUGAAAAGAUGAGAGAUCUACACUGUGACCUGAAUUGGGCAAUGCUCAGUUACACAGUAGAGGAGGUGGGAGGUGCCCAGUCACAAGGAUGAUCCAAGUCAUUCAUGGAAACACCUUCCCCUUUGCCAAUUGGGCCCCUCCCAGCUCCUCCCAGCCAUUCGGAGCAGUAAGUGAAGAUGUCAGCACCUUGGACAGAGCCCAACGCAUUACAGUACUCGAAGCCAGCGGAAGCCAAGCUCUCCAACUCCUUUAGCCUCGGGGUGAUGGAUUUCCUCGUUUCUCAAUUUGAUUAAAGCC
rnacentral:lncRNA from 1 species